CCUCUCUCUCUCUCUCUCUCUCUCUCUCUCUCUCUCUCUCUCUCUCUCUCUCUCUCUCUCCCUUCCUUCCUUCCUUUCUUUCUCUUUCUUUCUUUCUUUCUUUCUUUCCUUCUUUCUUUCCUUCCUUCCUUCCUUCUUUCUUUCUUUCUUCCUUCUUUCCUUCCUUCUUUCUUUCUUUCUUUCUUUCUUUCUUUCCUUCUUUCCUUCUUUCCUUCUUUCCUUCUUUCCUUCCUUCCUUCCUUCUUUCUUUCUUUCUUUCUUUCUUUCUUUCUUUCUUUCUUUCUUUCUUUCUUUCUUUCUUUCUUUCUUUCUUUCUUUCUUUCUUUCUUUCUUUCUUUCUUUCUUUCUUUCUUUCUUUCUUUCUUUCUUUCUUUCUUUCUUUCUUUCUUUCUUUCUUUCUUCAUAAAUUCCAGUACCUCUGGGAAGGCUAACUCUAGAAAUUAUUUUCAGUAAAUAUUGGAGUAGGAAAUGUAGC
rnacentral:lncRNA from 1 species